rnacentral:rRNA from 1 species
GACAGAGGGUGCAAACGUGUUCGGAAUUACUGGGCGUAAAGCGCGUGUAGGCGGCCCUGUAAGUCGGAUGUGAAAUCCCACGGCUCAACCGUGGAAGUGCAUUCGAAACUACAGGGCUAGAGUCCUGGAGAGGAAGGUGGAAUGCUUGGUGUAGAGGUGAAAUUCGUAGAUAUCAAGCGGAACACCGGUGGCCGAAGGCGGGUU